CUGAGAAGUCACCUCUCUCGGUUGAGUCCCCCUCUCCUCGCGACAGCAGAGCCGCUUUUGCUUUCCUUCAGCACCACUUUCCAUCCUAUUCUCCCUCUCUCCCCUACAUCCCCGAAACGCUUACCAGCGAGCGUCAGCGCAGAGAGAUGACGAGCAAUUGGGGGAAAUAAAUCACGUUUCAGUGCAAUUUAUUCCUUCGAAAAAUAGAGGAUGAUGAGAACAUAGAAGAAAACAACAUAGGCAGUAAAGAAGGAAAAGGAGGAAACACAAAUUAUUAUAACAUAACGCACAAGUUCGUCAGCGGUCCAGCUGUCGGCAUAUUUCAUUUAUUUCGGGUUAAUUGCACGUUUACUGUAGACUAGCUAUGUCGCAGCGGGAGGAUAUUGAAAAAGGCAGAGGGGGGUAGGUUGCUGAGAGAGAGGGAGAUAGCCUUGGCAGCAUAUUAUUAUAAUGAUGCUGAGUGAGUGACUGAUCCACGCAUUCAAAUUGCGCUGGCGACUUUAAUUUGGAACUACAAUUCAGCAAGGGCGAUAUUGUAUUUUCGUCUGCUUCUGGAAGGCAUCGGGAGGAACCUGCAAAUUUCCCGAACAAUGCUCCAAGUGGCGCCUUUUAUCAGGCUCGGAAGAAAGAAAGCGGAGCAAAGGACGACUGCUAUAGAGAGAGUAACUGUGAAAGGCUGAGGCUACAGCGGCGCACCAAACGACAGGUGUGACUGGAGAGGGAUUUCAUCUCCUCUGAUCAACACAGAGAGGAAUCUGUCUCUACUUACGUCAGAACAGGUCGACCUAAAAAGAUUUUCAACAGUUUCAAGAACGCUACCCUCAAAGAAGCAAGGUUGGAGUCAGCAUGAAGGUCUUUGAAUGGGACUGAGUAUCAUGUCUUAUGAUUGGCCUCAGUUAAUUAUUUUCAAAUACCAAAGCCCAAUAAUGGUUUAAUGCUCGCAAUGUUGUUUGUUCAAGAACACUUUUCUGUCUCCUAGAAGACUAAUAUAUAUACUAAUAUAUGUGGGAUUCAGUUUUGGUAAAGGAACUGAGGCAUACAAUAGAAUAGAAUAGAAUAGGGCAACAGGAUCUUAGGCUAAACCUACUUUUAUUAUUUUUAGAUCAGUCGAAAUAUUCAGUCUCCUUAGUAUAUUCCAUCCCAUUCUGCCCAGCU
rnacentral:lncRNA from 1 species